UGGGGAAUAUUGCACAAUGGGGGAAACCCUGAUGCAGCGACGCCGCGUGAGCGAAGAAGGCUUUCGAGUCGUAAAGCUCUGUCCUAUGAGAAGAUAAUGACGGUAUCAUAGGAGGAAGCCCUGGCUAAAUACGUGCCAGCAGCCGCGGUAAUACGUAUGGGGCGAGCGUUGUCCGGAAUUAUUGGGCGUAAAGGGUACGUAGGCGGUUUUUUAAGUCAGGUGUCAAAGCGUGGAGCUUAACUACAUUAAGCACUUGAAACUGAAAGACUUGAGUGAAGGAGAGGAAAGUGGAAUUCCUAGUGUAGCGGUGAAAUGCGUAGAUAUUAGGAGGAAUACCGGUGGCGAAGGCGACUUUCUGGACUUUUACUGACGCUCAGGUACGAAAGCGUGGGGAGCAAACAGG
rnacentral:rRNA from 1 species